GAUGAAGAACGUAGCGAAAUGCGAUACGUAAUGUGAAUUGCAGAAUUCAGUGAAUCAUCUAAUCUUUGAACGCACAUUGCGCCUGCCAGCACUCUGGCAGGCAUGCCUGUUCGAGCGUCAUUUCAACCAUCAAGCCCUAGGCUUGCGUUGGAGCCCUGCGGCUGCCGCAGGCCCCUAAAAGCAGUGGCGGGCUCGCUAUCACACCGAGUGCAGUAGAUUACUCUUCGCUCAGGGCGUGUGGCGGGUUCCAGCCGUGAAACCCCCUACUUCUCAAGGUUGACCUCGGAUCAGGUAGGAAUACCCGCUGAACUUAAGCAUAUCAAUAAGCGGAGGA
rnacentral:misc_RNA from 1 species